rnacentral:tRNA from 1 species
GGAGGUGAAUGAGGCCUGGUGGCUUCCGCGGGCUUCAAACCCGUUGGGACUCGUCGGGAGGCGGGUCCGGUGAGUUCGAUUCUCACACGCCUCCGCCA